rnacentral:rRNA from 1 species
CAGUCGCCACGGGAAUACGUAGGGUGCGAGCGUUAAUCGGAAUUACUGGGCGUAAAGCGUGCGCAGGCGGUUGUGUAAGACAGGUGUGAAAUCCCCGGGCUUAACCUGGGAACUGCGCUUGUGACUGCACGGCUAGAGUAUGGCAGAGGGGGGUGGAAUUCCACGUGUAGCAGUGAAAUGCGUAGAGAUGUGGAGGAACACCGAUGGCGAAGGCAGCCCCCUGGGCCAAUACUGACGCUCAUGCACGAAAGCGUGGGGAGCAAACAGGAUUAGAUACCCCCGUAGUCCCUGUCUCUUAUAC